AUGCUUUUUUUUUUAGAGUUCGAUAAUUAGUGAGAAACAAUAUGGGCCUUUCAUUAUCAUAGAAUUUACUAAACGUGGUCCAAAAAAUAGUAAACCGGUUAAUAUUGUGUUGAAUAAUUGGAUUAGAUUUGAUAAUUAAAUUAAAUUUAAUUAUUUUCUUUAAAGAAAAGAUUUGUCACGAAAUUUAUGUCUGGGCCACACAAUGAUGAAGAUGCAGGUCUGCUCAAAGAUUCAUUAAUAAAUAACGCUGAUGCUCCUGACGGGUGGCCUGAAUAUAAUUGCUACGUAUGAGGCGAGUCCGCUUUUAGUAAGUCGGGAUGUGGCAUUAAACUUUACGGCCCAACAAGAAGUAAAAAAUAAAAUUGCUAUAAAAAAUAUAAAUUUUACAAAAGUUUUAAAAUGUUCUCUAAUUGCAAUUACCGCCAUAGUCUCCGAAAAUGAAGCACUAGUAGCGAUUGGAUCAGCCUUGGGCAAUGCCACCGAUUGGGACAAUAAACGUAAAGCGAGAUAAAAUAAUAAUAAUUAUAAUAAUUAAAAGUAUUAAUUUUAUAUCAAUGUGUUUUAAAUUUAAAAAAAUUGAUCUAGUUGUAUUGAAUAAUAAUAUGAUAAUAUAA